rnacentral:rRNA from 1 species
UACGUAGGAUGCGAGCGUUGUCCGGAAUUAUUGGGCGUAAAGAGAACGUAGGCGGUUUCUUAAGUUUGGGCUUAAAGACUGGGGCUCAACCCCAGGAGUGGCUCGAAAACUGAGAGACUAGAGGAUGGCAGAGGAAAGUGGAAUUCCCAGUGUAGCGGUGAAAUGCGUAGAUAUUGGGAGGAACACCAGUGGCGAAAGCGGCCUUCUGGACCAAUACUGACGCUCAUGCACGAAAGCGUGGGGAGCAAACAGG